rnacentral:rRNA from 1 species
AUUGAACGCUGGCGGCAGGCCUAACACAUGCAAGUCGAGCGGAUGAAGGGAGCUUGCUCCUGGAUUCAGCGGCGGACGGGUGAGUAAUGCCUAGGAAUCUGCCUGGUAGUGGGGGAUAACGUCCGGAAACGGGCGCUAAUACCGCAUACGUCCUGAGGGAGAAAGUGGGGGAUCUUCGGACCUCACGCUAUCAGAUGAGCCGAGGUCGGAUUAGCUAGUUGGUGGGGUAAAGGCCUACCAAGGCGACGAUCCGUAACUGGUCUGAGAGGAUGAUCAGUCACACUGGAACUGAGACACGGUCCAGACUCCUACGGGAGGCAGCAGUGGGGAAUAUUGGACAAUGGGCGAAAGCCUGAUCCAGCCAUGCCGCGUGUGUGAAGAAGGUCUUCGGAUUGUAAAGCACUUUAAGUUGGGAGGAAGGGCAGUAAGUUAAUACCUUGCUGUUUUGACGUUACCAACAGAAUAAGCACCGGCUAACUUCGUG